ACCCAUAGAAGUCACACCACCUUGUCAUUCAUGUGACCUUCUGACUCCAUCUACUGUCACUUUAGUCACAGAAGCGGAGGAAACACUCGAGGGAGCCUGUGUUAUGGGCAAGGAGCAUAAUGGACUGGAAAGAAGGACUGAUAAGCUUGUGAUCCAGCUGUGCCAUGAUUGCAGAGCAUCCCCUGGGGACUGGACGGGUCAACUGUAAACAAAAGAUGUAGCAGAUGAUUAAAUGCAGCAGAGGUUGGUCAGACUCAGCGCCUCAUUCUCAUAGGGCAGACUAUGGAAAAGGACAAAGAGCAUCAUCCAGUGGGAAUGCCUGGCAAGCAGCCCUCAGCGGACAACCAAGGUUGACAUUGAGUGCCAACCCUGUGGUUGUCACAACCCGAUACUGUGAGCAUGUUAUCUCCGGGAUACUCUUCAUAAAACAGUAACAACAAGAACAAAACCAACUGGACCCUCGGUUUAGUUAUUAAAAUAAACUUAAAAAGAAUAAUCAAGCA